AGCCAGCAGUAUUGGAGAUGCCUAUUUUGGGAACAAGAUUAGGUCAAAUUUAUAUAUAUCCAAAAUACUUAAUUAAAAAAAUAUAAAUGCUUCAAGAAAUGGUUAAAAAAAAAAAAAUAAAGAUAAGUAUUGAAGUCUUGAAUUAUUAUUCUGAAGCCUUCCAUUUGAGUCCCUUAGGUUUUAAAAAUUAAUUAAAAUGAACAAAAUUUCAGAAUCCAUCUAGCACAAAUAAAAAUCUCAUAAUACAAAGGCAGUAAGGAUUUUUUUGAAGCACAAACAUGGAUUCAAUUAUUAUUAUUUUUCCCCACAGGACUUGGAACAUUCCAGUGAUGGGCUGCUACCAUGUUUGACACAUGCCAAUAGCAAAUCCAAAUAUCACAAUAAUAAUAAUAAUGGCAAUAUUGAAAGGAUGAUACUGAAAUUGUCAUGACAUGGCCCAACUCACCAAAAUAGCCAUCAAGGAUUAAGUAAAACCAGAAAAUGAAUCUAAUGAAUAAGAAAACAACAAAUAAAAGUUCAUGGACAUAGAUAAAAUAAAGCUAAGGAAAGACAAAAGAAAUCACGAUAAGUAACACCAACAAAUGCAUAUAUACUCAGGAAGCAUAUAUUAAAAGAGAAAAAGAAAGGGGAAAAAAACUUCAUAAGAUAUAACAUCAGACCUUGAUCGCAUUUUGAACACUGG
rnacentral:misc_RNA from 1 species